ensembl:lncRNA
CCCCCCCCGGCCCACAACCCCCUGCCCCAUAGCUCCCCCCUCCCCCCCUUUCCCCCAACUCACGCCUCCAGCAGGUUAUGGGGCGACGCUGGGGCUCUCUGUGGGGCUGCCCCACACCUCAGCCCCACAAGUAGGGCCACCAAUAGGACGUGGGCACGGGGAAAUGUGGGGCUGCCCAGGAUGACCGCUGCCCCAUAACUGAGGCCCCAAGCGGCUGCCCCACAGAUCCGCCCCACCGCUGCCCCAUAGCGCAGCCCCACAGCCGCCCCAUAGCGCAGGGACUCCAUGAUGGCGGCUGUGGGGCGGGCGACCCCAAGGGCGGGUGGAGGGCGAAGGGGGGCACUUAGGGGGGGUUGGGGGGCGGCUGUGGGGGGAGUGUGGGGCGGGGAAUGGGGGUUAUGGGGCUGAUAUGGGGGGAUAUGGGGCGGAUAUGGGGUAUAUGGGGGGCUAUGGGGCGGAUGUGGGGGCUAUGGGGCGGAUAUAGGGUUUAUGGGGGGCUAUGGGGCGGAUGUGGGGGCUAUGGGGCAGGUAUGGGGGCUAUGGGGCAGAAAUUAGGGGCUAUGGGGCAGAAAUGAGGGGCUAUGGGGCAGAAAUGAGGGGCUAUGGGGCAGAUAUGGGGGCUAUGGGGCAGGGAAUGGGGGUUAUGGGGUGGAUAUGGGGGGAUAUGGGGCAGGGAAUGGGGGUUAUGGGGCGGAUAUGGGGGGCUAUGGGGCGGAUAUGGGGGGCUAUGGGGCAGAUAUGGGGGCUAUGGGGCAGGGAAUGGGGGUUAUGGGGCGGAUAUGGGGGGAUAUGGGGCGGAUAUGGGGUAUAUGGGGGGCUAUGGGGCGGAUAUGGGGGCUAUGGGGCAGGGAAUGAGGGUUAUGGGGCGGAUAUGGGGGGAUAUGGGGUGGAUAUAGGGUAUAUGGGGGGCUAUGGGGCGGAUAUGGGGGCUAUGGGGCAGGGAAUGAGGGUUAUGGGGCGGAUAUGGGGGCAUAUGGGGGCUAUGGGACAGAUAUGGGGGCUAUGGGGCAGAAAUUAGGGGUUAUGGGGUGGAUAUGGGGGGAUAUGGGGCAGGGAAUGGGGGUUAUGGGGCGGAUAUGGGGGGCUAUGGGGCGGAUAUGGG